UGGGGAAUUUUGGACAAUGGACGCAAGUCUGAUCCAGCAAUGCCGCGUGCAGGACGAAGGCCUUCGGGUUGUAAACUGCUUUUGUACAGAACGAAAAGGCUCUGGUUAAUACCUGGGGUUCAUGACGGUACCGUAAGAAUAAGCACCGGCUAACUACGUGCCAGCAGCCGCGGUAAUACGUAGGGUGCAAGCGUUAAUCGGAGUUACUGGGCGUAAAGCGUGCGCAGGCGGUGAUGUAAGACAGAUGUGAAAUCCCCGGGCUCAACCUGGGAACUGCAUUAGUGACUGCAUCGCUGGAGUGCGGCAGAGGGGGAUGGAAUUCCGCGUGUAGCAGUGAAAUGCGUAGAUAUGCGGAGGAACACCGAUGGCGAAGGCAAUCCCCUGGGCCUGCACUGACGCUCAUGCACGAAAGCGUGGGGAGCAAACG
rnacentral:rRNA from 1 species